rnacentral:rRNA from 1 species
AUGAGAAUUUCCUUUGAUGAGUGCAAAGAAAGAACCACUAGGAUGCGUGCUAAGAAAGAUGCCUUUAUAAAAGCGUGUUCUUCUAGUUCCUAUGAAAAUAACGAUGAAGAUAUAAAAGUUAUUAAUGUGUCCCCUAUUACAUCUUUGUUUUGCAAUAUGAAUCUUGAUAAUGAUGGGACUGAAUAUGAUCCACCUUUACCUAGAAGGCAUUCCAAGAAUUCUGAAUCUUUUGAUCUUCAUGCUAAAUUUGAUAAAAGUGGGAUUGAAGAAAUUAAAACCCUAGAUGUUGCUAAACCCACUAUUAUGGACUUCAAGGAAUUUAACUAUGAAAAUUGCUCUUUGAUUGAUUGUAUUUCCUCAUUGCAAUCCGUGCUAAAUUCUCCUCAUGCUUAUAGUCAAAAUAAAGUGUUUACUAAACAUAUCGUUGAUGCCUUGAUGCAACCUUAUGAAGAAAAACUUGAAUUGGAAGUUUCUAUCCCUAGAAAACUUUAUGAUGACUGGUAA